AACCCACAAGGGAGGGAAGCUAAUUUUGCUAAUCAGAAACAGCUUCGUUUACAUGGCUCAGGCCUAAAAAAUGUGGGAUGGAAUAGGAGCAUGGGAAAGAAUUGAUGAAACAAUAUUUCAAGUCAUGUUUUCUACAUACAUUGUGAUGAAUCUGUAUUGGCGUUACAAUGAAUACAAAUCAUAAUUGACUUGGUUGAAAACCUGAUGAGUGUAUUGUAUCAUAAUGAGAAUAGUAUUGGGCUGUGGAAAAACCUUGACUUUCUGUUCUUAUAGCCCAACGACAUUUGUAGCAGGGGCUACUUAACCUUAAUAUUCCUGAUUGAUACUCCUAAGGACCUGAGUUUUUUCUCUCAGAAACUCAAGCCUUUGUGCUUCCAUUCCUCACCAUCUUUUGAUUCGGAAGGAAGUGAAGGCAUUAUUCCUGGGGCAAGAGGUAGGCACAGGAAACACCAUUUCCUUCUUGAUGUCUUAAACUGGGUUGAGACGUCAGUGUGGAGCAGAGUGCAGGAGACUGAAAGAUCAGGGUUCAAAACUUGACUGUGGCACUUUCUGGCUUUGUAACCUUCAGCAAAUUAAUUCUUUUGAUCCUACAUGUCCUCAAUAACAAAGUGGAAAUAACAGCAUUUUACAGGUUUGUUUUUAAAUGAGGUAAUAUGCUAAAUAUUUGGUAUAUAGUAUACCUCUAAAAAAGUAGUCUUUCUUCUUUCUGACCCAGUCUCUUUCUUUCACUUAAUUUUCCGUCUCCAUAAAGGAGAGCCUGUGACCUUACCAGGCCUUCUGAGAUUCCUUUGGCUCUUGAGAAGAAUUACAGAUGCUGCAGCAGUUUACCUCUUCCCUGCACCUGUGUCUCCAGGAGGACUGGGACACUAUGGUCUGAACCUCAAAUAUAAUGCCUGCUCACAUUGGGGACAGCAGCCUACUGAGUUCAGCAAUUUAAAUGUGAAUCUAAUCUGGAAACAUCCUGCUGAGGACUGAAUGUUUGUGUCCUCCCCACCCACAAAUUCAUAUGUGGAAAUCUAACCCACAAGGUGAUGGUAUGAAGAUAUGGAGUCUUUUGGGAGGUAAUUGA
rnacentral:lncRNA from 1 species